AUUGAACGCUGGCGGCAGGCCUAACACAUGCAAGUCGAACGAGUGGCGGACGGGUGAGUAAUGUCUGGGGAACUGCCUGAUAGAGGGGGAUAACUACUGGAAACGGUAGCUAAUACCGCAUACCAUCGGAUGUGCCCAUAUGGGAUUAUCUAGUUGGUGGGGUAACGGCUCACCAAGGCGACGAUCCCUAGCUGGUCUGUGAGGAUGAUCAGCCACACUGGGACUGAGACACGGGCCAGACUCCUACGGGAGGCAGCAGUGGGGAAUAUUGCACAAUGGGCGCAAGCCUGAUGCAGCCAUGCCGCGUGUAGGAAGAAAGUCUUCGGGUUGUAAAGUCCUGUCGUCGGGGAAGCGGUACCUGAACAAAAAGCACCGGCUAACUCCGUGCCAGCAGCCGCGGUAAUAC
rnacentral:rRNA from 1 species